rnacentral:tRNA from 1 species
AUUUAUUUAAUAUAAUUUAAGUAUCUUUGGCUUCCAACCAAAAAGUCUAUUUUUAGAAUAAAUA